UCAGGAUGAACGCUAGCGGCAGGCUUAAUACAUGCAAGUUGAACGGGAUUCGAGUAGCAAUACUUGAUGAGAGUGGCGCACGGGUGCGUAACACGUAUGCAACCUACCUUUAACUGGCGAAUAGCCCCGGGAAAUCGGGAUUAAUACGCCAUAAGAUCACGAAAGGGCAUCCUUUAGUAAUUAAAGAACUUCGGUUAGAGAUGGGCAUGCGGGACAUUAGCUAGUUGGUGAGGUAACGGCUCACCAAGGCAACGAUGUCUAGGGGUCCUGAGAGGGUUAUCCCCCACACUGGUACUGAGACACGGACCAGACUCCUACGGGAGGCAGCAGUAAGGAAUAUUGGUCAAUGGGCGCAAGCCUGAACCAGCCAUGCCGCGUGCAGGAAGACGGCCCUAUGGGUUGUAAACUGCUUUUGUCAGGGAAUAAAUGAUGGUACGAGUACUGUCUUGAAGGUACCUGAAGAAUAAGCAUCGGCUAACUCCGUGCCAGCAGCCGCGGUAAUACGGAGGAUGCAAGCGUUAUCCGGAUUCAUUGGGUUUAAAGGGUGCGCAGGCGGAUUGGUAAGUCAGGGGUGAAAUCCCACAGCUCAACUGUGGAACUGCCUUUGAUACUGUCAGUCUAGAGUAUAGUUGAAGUUGGCGGAAUGUGUCAUGUAGCGGUGAAAUGCUUAGAUAUGACACAGAACACCGAUCGCGAAGGCAGCUAGCUAAACUAUAACUGACGCUCAUGCACGAAAGCGUGGGGAUCAAACAGGAUUAGAUACCCUGGUAGUCCACGCUGUAAACGAUGAUUACUCGAUGUUGGCGAUACACAGUCAGCGUCUGAGCGAAAGCAAUAAGUAAUCCACCUGGGG
rnacentral:rRNA from 1 species